GAGUGCCCGAUUGGUUCAGAACCCUAACCUCCACCCCCACUCGCGCCCCUCUCCUUCGCUCCUGUCCUCCCCCGCCGCGCCGCCAUCUUCCCCGCACUCGUCGCCGCCGCUCCCGCGUGCUCCGCCUCCUCCCCUUCCCUCGUUCUCGUGCAGCCGCCGCGGCGCUCCCGCAUCUCCUCCCCUUCCUCUCCCAACGCCACGUUCGCGGAGGUGCUGCAGAUCCCCGCCGACCAGGCCGCGCUGGCGCUCGGGGCGCUCGCCGCCGUGCUCCCCGGCGACGACGACGACCCCGCAACGGACGACGCGUCGGAGGCCGACCUCCACGCAAACCCUAGCGCAGCUCAAGGCGAAGCUCGUGGCGCGUUGGGGCCGGGCACGUGGGUGGCGCGGUGCUCGCGGAGGCGCUACAGAUCCCCGCCGAGCAGGUCGUGCUGGCGCUCGGGGUGCUCGCCGCCGUGCUCCCCGGCGACGACGACGACCCCGCAACGGACGGAGCUGGCGCCUCCCCGCCCCCAUCUAUCCACUCCGUCCAGUUCCUGCAGAAGCAUUCUAGAAUCAGCAACUGAAAUAGGCAAAGUUAGCAACUAGAAUCUGGGGUGGGAAAUAGGCAAAUACAGGAAGCAUAAUGGGGAGUUUGUCUUCGCGACAAUUAUGGAGCGGGUGCUCUGCUUCGAAUAUAUGCAUGGCGGAAGCCUUGAUAAACACAUUGAAGAUGAAGCUUGCGGGCUUGAGUGGCCCACAUGUUACAAGAUUAUUAAAGGGACUUGUGAGGGAAUAAAUUACCUUCACAACUCCCAGGAAAGGCAUAUUUACCAUCUGAACUUAAAGCCUGGUAAUAUUUUGCUGGAUAAAAGUAUGACCCCCAAGAUUGCAGAUCUUGGUUUGUCAAGACUUGUUGAUUCAAUAGAAACAGAUGAACCAGAUAUGCGCCAGGGAACACUUUGGGACGGUGGCGUGCCGGAAGGGCUGUCUUGCGAGUUGACCGGAGUGGGAGUACACCGGAGAGGCUUCUGAGAUGGCUGAGGGAUCUGUCUAAGGUUUGCUGGUUGAUUUGUCCUGGCUGGGGUCUGCUUGUUCUCUUGGCUCCUGGGCUGUGCUGCUCGAAGUUGCUUCACUGGUUUCCUUGCAGGCACCCAAGCUUUUCUUCGCGCGAUGGCAUCAGGCACACGGAGGGAGCUCUUCUCCAUCGGUGCGAUGAACAAUGACCGUGAUCUCCGUUCCACACCGUCACCAGCUAGCAAGAUGAAGCAUUCUGUCACGGUUAGGCCGAAGGCUAUGCUUAGCGCCGUUCUUGCUGAAGAUGGUUUACCCGAGGUGAAGUACAAGACCUGCGCAUCCUACCGUGGCCGUGUGGCGGCUACUCCAUCACAGUCGCGUUCAUCUGCAGCGGCAGAGCAUAUGAGGAUCAAUGGCGACCCAGCUGUGGAUGCCAAUGGGCCAUGCAAAAUGCUGCUCCUCGGUGCUUGGAGCAUCUUCAGGCCACCAUGGAUAUUGAAUUUGACUGCCCUCAAAUGCAGAAAAUUAAGACCGAGAUGAAGUACCUGUCGGGCAGUGUCGACGAGAAAGACAGGAAGAUCAGAGAUCUGAAGGCUAAGGCGGGUCAACGGGCUUACCAAGGGCUGGGGUCACUGGCAGAUUACCUGCUCGGAUCUGCAUAUGAUCAAGCUUUGCUUCCGACUGGUUCUUCAGUAGUUCGUUUUUUAUCAUAGCUGAAAAUGCAUUGCACCGUGUAUGCUUACUCUCCUAUGAUGCUUUCUACGCUCUUGUGUUAGGUAAGGGGCAGUACUUGCUUCGAUCAUUUUGAUUCUGAUUAGAUCUUUAUUUCCAUUUGACUUCCUGCUGUAUCUUCAUCUCCAUUUAACUUAUUGAUAUGGUUUUGUUUCAUUCUGUUUUAGCGUACUUACAAUUAAUAACUUUAUAAUCAACUCCUGACGUCACUAUUUCGUAGUUUGUUUUGUUUAGAACAACUUGACAUGCACCCUUUUACCUCACGCACUCAAGAUAUAAUAUUUAUCUUUAUUUAUAUAUACAACAACUUCAUGGAUGGGUGUUUGGAGGUUUCUGAGGCUGCAUUAUGAAUAGGUGAUAUUAAGCGAAUACCAGUAUUUUUAGGUGCAUUUUAUCGGCCAUCUAUUUACAGCUUCAGUUACUUCAUACGUUAGUCCCAUUUGAACACAUGGUGAUAAUAUCAUGCUUUCUUCUUAUCGUCGGAAUAGCAGCCUGGGUUACUACUAACUUAACAUUACACGCUUGACCAAAACGUUCGGACCGGCACCCUUACGUCAAGGCGCGUACCCGAUCUAGUUGUAUUUGACCAUGGGUUCUAGCUUGGCAUCAGGGACAAACUACAGGGGGACAUCAAUCGCUCUCGCCUCUCGCUUAUCCACUUGUUAUGCAACUUGUGAUGAUUGGGCCCAAAGAGAGGCAUUGGCUAUAUGCCUAUAUGUACAUCAAUAAUGCUCCAGGUAAUUCCGGUCAUUAUCAAGGUGGUUAGUGACACUGACACCAUAUCUGGUCCAGCAGCUAAACACAGCAGGUAGAAGAAGGAAAAAAAAGGUCUCUCUGGAUUAUUGUACUAGACUUGUUAAUUUGCGCCAUUAUGAGUUAGUAUUUUUGUAUAUCUUCACCUGUCUGUUCAUGUACUUAUUUACAUAAAAAAAUCCAUCUGGGUGUUUAUUAUAGAAUGAUAGAUGCAUGACACGGAUAAACAUUUGAGCUAUAAUACUGUAGAUAGUAGUAUUUCUCAGUUGUUUCAAUUCACGCAGCAGAGUAGUCAUCUUCGUUGCUAACACUAGAGAAAAAAAACUAGUUUUCUGUCCAAGUACUUAUGGAGAAGCGUUCGCUUGAAUUGCAGGUGGAACUGGCCACUCAGAUCAACAUAUAUCAUAAUCAACAGCCGACAUGCACACUCAACGCCGAAGACGACAAUUUUGGAGAAGCUAUGGCAAGCGUUGUUAAAAGUUAGGAAAAGAUGCUCAGUAUGGGAAGCUAUCAGCAAUAACAGUUGGAUAUCCAAAAUCAAACGACUGUCAGACCAUAGUUGCCAGAAAUUUGGGUCGAUCGGGUCGAGGAACGGGGUCGCGGGACGGGGAUCGCGACGUCUGAAAUCGAGGGUCGAAGAGGGCUACUCAUCUUCGGGACGGUAUUUUGGAUCGCGGUAUGCGACCCCGCUAAAACUGGGUCGAAAAAUCCGGGUCGAUCUUGUCGUUCCCUCAGGGAAAUAUUAGGAUAUGCGGUGAUACAUUCCUAAAUCCCCCAGAAUUUUCUCGUCUAAUAAAUGUUUCCAUUAAAUUGUCAUCAGGCUCAUAAAUCAGCUCACGGCUGCUUGGGCGUGAUUUUCUCAACUAUCUAUUUCUCU